rnacentral:rRNA from 1 species
UACGGAGGGUGCGAGCGUUAAUCGGAAUUACUGGGCGUAAAGCGUGCGUAGGUGGUUCGUUGUGUCUGUGGUGAAAGCCCCGGGCUUAACCUGGGAACGGCCAUGGAAACUGGCGAGCUGGAGUGUGGCAGAGGGGGGUGGAAUUCCUGGUGUAGCGGUGAAAUGCGCAGAUAUCAGGAGGAACACCGAUGGCGAAGGCAGGUCUCUGGGCAUUAACUGACGCUGAGGCGCGAAAGCAUGGGGAGCGAACAGG